GACGAACGCUGGCGGCGUGCUUAACACAUGCAAGUCGAACGAGAAGAGAUGAGAAGCUUGCUUCUUAUCGAUUCGAGUGGCAAACGGGUGAGUAACGCGUAAGCAACCUGCCCUCUAGAUGGGGACAACAGCUGGAAACGGCUGCUAAUACCGAAUACGUUCUUUCUGUCGCAUGGCAGAAGGAAGAAAGGGAGGCUCUUCGGAGCUUUCGCUGGAGGAGGGGCUUGCGUCUGAUUAGCUAGUUGGAGGGGUAACGGCCCACCAAGGCGACGAUCAGUAGCCGGUCUGAGAGGAUGAACGGCCACAUUGGGACUGAGACACGGCCCAGACUCCUACGGGAGGCAGCAGUGGGGAAUCUUCCGCAAUGGACGAAAGUCUGACGGAGCAACGCCGCGUGAACGAUGACGGCCUUCGGGUUGUAAAGUUCUGUUAUACGGGACGAAUGGUACGACGGUCAAUACCCGUCGUAAGUGACGGUAC
rnacentral:rRNA from 1 species